GAAUCUUGCACAAUGGGGGAAACCCUGAUGCAGCGACGCCGCGUGAGCGAUGAAGCCCUUCGGGGUGUAAAGGUCUUUCAGCGGGGAAAAUUAUGAUGGUACCCGCAGAAGCAGCUGCGGCUAACUACGUGCCAGCAGCCGCGGUAAUACGUAGGCAGCAAGCGUUGUUCGGAAUUACUGGGCGUAAAGCGAGUGUAGGCGGUCUGUCAAGUCUGCUGUGAAAUCUCCUGGCUCAACUGGGAGGGUGCGGUGGAAACUGGCAGGCUAGAGUACGGAAGGGGAGAGUGGAAUUCCUGGUGUAGCGGUGAAAUGCGUAGAUAUCAGGAGGAACACCGGCGGUGAAGACGGCUCUCUGGACCGUUACUGACGCUGAGACUCGAAAGCGUGGGGAGCAAACAGG
rnacentral:rRNA from 1 species